rnacentral:sRNA from 1 species
CUAUAAGAGCUAGUCCAUGCGAGUUCUUCCUUGUUGGAGAAUCGGAAUACUAGUGUUGA